rnacentral:tRNA from 2 species
GUCCCCGUAGCUCAGUCGGAUAGAGCAAGUGCCUCCUAAGCGCUAGGUCGGAGGUUCAAUUCCUCUCGGGGACGCCA